AACUCUUGCAGGUGUGCUAGUAUGUCCCUAGUAGUCUUGAGAUUCUCAUGCUGGCAUUGGAGUUCAUUGGAUAUGGAUGCCAUCAUAUAGCACUUGACUCUAAUGUCAUCAUCCAUCCACUUUUGAUGCAUCUGUCGCUGAACAUCAGUAGGACGUGUUGGUAGUGUGGGGAUAUCUGAAUCGAGUAUAUAGCCUAUUUUCUCACAGCUCAAA
rnacentral:lncRNA from 1 species